AUACGGAGGAUCCGAGCGUUAUCCGGAUUUAUUGGGUUUAAAGGGUGCGCAGGCGGGAGAUUAAGUCGGCGGUGAAAUUUUGCAGCUCAACUGUAAAAGGGCCUUCGAAACUGGUUUCCUUGAGUGUGGAUGAGGGAGGCGGAAUUUGUGGUGUAGCGGUGAAAUGCUUAGAUAUCACGAGGGACUCCGAUUGCGCAGGCAGCUUACUAAACUACUACUGACGCUCAGGCACGAAGGCGUGGGGAUCAAACAGGAUUAGAUACCCUGGUAGUCCACGCAGUAAACGAUGAUUACUAGCUGUUUGCGAUACAAUGUAAGCGGCUGAGCGAAAGCGUUAAGUAAUCCACCUGGGGAGUACGUUCGCAAGAAUGAAACUCAAAUGAAUUGACGGGG
rnacentral:rRNA from 1 species